AAUUAUGGCUACAGCAAUGAGGUGAAUAGACGUUUGAGGGUUCAGACUCAGAUUGCUGUUUCAUCCUCUCAAGACCUCUGUUUCUUGUAAUCUGUAAAAUGAGGGUAAUAAGUCAUUUACAUUAGUGCUGGUGUGAGGAUUAUAUGAGAUAACAUUUGUAAAGGGCUGACAUUAACAUUGCACCGGGAAUCGUGGACACAGAAUAAAUGUUUCUUUAUUUUUCUUCCUUCUCGCAGAGGCUCAAAGAACACCUGGAAAAACCCCAAAGAUCUCAGUAGUAGAGGCUGACAGAUCGUGUAACUGAGAAAUCAAGAAUCUCUUUAUUGGAUGCAGGGUCAAUUUAGCCCUUGCAAGAAAUGUGUUUCAAAAUUUGGUUAUAAAUAAUAAUUGUGGAAUCAUAUUCCAUUGGGGUGUGACUGUGCAGGUUGUUCACACCUUGUGUCCCUUCCAACUGGUUGUUGCCGAUUCACCAGUAUUCAC